rnacentral:rRNA from 1 species
UACGAAGGGGGCUAGCGUUGCUCGGAAUCACUGGGCGUAAAGCGCACGUAGGCGGCUUGUUAAGUCAGGGGUGAAAUCCUGGAGCUCAACUCCAGAACUGCCUUUGAUACUGGCGAGCUUGAGUCCGGGAGAGGUGAGUGGAACUGCGAGUGUAGAGGUGAAAUUCGUAGAUAUUCGCAAGAACACCAGUGGCGAAGGCGGCUCACUGGCCCGGUACUGACGCUGAGG